GCAAGUCGAGCGAGAAGGAUCCUUCGGGAUCUGGAGAGCGGCGGACGGGUUAGCAACGCGUGGGAACGUGCCCUAAAGUCUGGGAUAACUAUUGGAAACGAUAGCUAAUACCGGAUGGUCCCGAAAGGGUAAAGCUUUAGCGCUUUAGGAUCGGCCCGCGUUAGAUUAGCUAGUUGGUGAGGUAAUGGCUCACCAAGGCAACGAUCUAUAGCUGGUUUGAGAGGAUGAUC
rnacentral:rRNA from 1 species